rnacentral:rRNA from 1 species
UACGUAGGGUGCGAGCGUUGUCCGGAAUUAUUGGGCGUAAAGAGCUCGUAGGCGGUCUGUCACGUCGGAUGUGAAAGCCCGGGGCUUAACCCCGGGUCUGCAUUCGAUACGGGCAGACUAGAGUGUGGUAGGGGAGAUCGAAUUCCUGGUGUAGCGGUGAAAUGCGCAGAUAUCAGGAGGAACACCGGUGGCGAAGGCGGAUCUCUGGGCCAUUACUGACGCUGAGGAGCGAAAGCGUGGGGAGCGAACAGG